UACGUAGGGACCAAGCGUUGUUCGGAUUUACUGGGCGUAAAGGGCGCGUAGGCGGCGUGGUAAGUCACUUGUGAAAUCUCUGAGCUUAACUCAGAACGGUCAAGUGAUACUGCUGUGCUAGAGUGCGGAAGGGGCAAUCGGAAUUCUUGGUGUAGCGGUGAAAUGCGUAGAUAUCAAGAGGAACACCUGAGGUGAAGACGGGUUGCUGGGCCGACACUGACGCUGAUGCGCGAAAGCGUGGGGAGCGAACGGG
rnacentral:rRNA from 1 species